GAGGGGGAAGAAUUGUGUGAUUUUUCUACUUAAAUGCUCAUUGAUUUCACUAAUUAAAGUGAGUAAUUAGAGUGAGUAACUUAAUUAAACAUAAAGAGGGGGUUGAUUUUAAGGUGGUGAAUGCAUUGAAGGAAGGAUUUCAAGCUAGGGUUUGAAGAGGGAGAAGAAGAAAACUUGAUUUUUCUUGCAUUCUUUUCUUAAAUCCUUAUCAAAGUGAGAGGAGGCCGCAGGACCUAAUCAGCAACAAGGGACAUCUUCACGCGCACAGACACCAGGUACAUCGCACCCUCGUUCUGGAAAGUAGAUGCUUGGAUAAAUAAUUUUG